rnacentral:rRNA from 1 species
UACAGAGGUCUCAAGCGUUGUUCGGAUUCAUUGGGCGUAAAGGGUGCGUAGGUGGCGUCGUAAGUCGGGUGUGAAAUUUCGGAGCUUAACUCCGAAACUGCAUUCGAUACUGCGGUGCUUGAGGACUGGAGAGGAGACUGGAAUUCAUGGUGUAGCAGUGAAAUGCGUAGAGAUCAUGAGGAAGACCAGUGGCGAAGGCGGGUCUCUGGACAGUUCCUGACACUGAGGCACGAAGGCCAGAGGAGCAAACGGG